rnacentral:rRNA from 1 species
CUCAGGAUAGCUGGAGUAUAUAUUUUUUAUAAAUGAUAAGUUAGAUUAGGUAAAGCGAAUGAUUAGAAGUAUGGGGAAAAAAAUUUUUCUUCACUUAUUCUCAAACUUUAAAUAGGUCUAUAUUAUAAGAAAUAAAAUUAAUUUUUAUUUUUUAUUGAAAAGAAGAAUUUUGAAAAACUCUUUGUGGGCCAUUCCUGGUAAGCAGGACUGGCGAUGUGGGAUGAACCAAACGUAAAGUUAAAGUGCCUAAAAAAUACGUUCAUCAGAUACCACAAAAGGUGUUGAUUCAUCUUGACAGUUGGACAGUGGCCAUGGAAGUCGGAAUCUGCUAAGGAGUGUGUAACAACUCACCAACCGAAUGAAUUAGCCCUGAAAAUGGAUGGCGCUUAAAACGUAUUACUUAUACUUUACCAUUAAGAUAAAUGCUAAAUCUUAAUGAGUAGGAGGGCGUAUGGAUAAUUUAGAAGACUGACAGUGAUGUUGGUUGGAAUUAUCUUUAGUGCAGAUCUUGGUGGUAGUAGACUAAAUAUUCAAUAGAGAACA